GUGUCCCAGCACAGACCCUAAAAUUGGAAAGAUACAGGGAAGAUUACCAUGGCCCCUGAACAAGAAUAUCAAGUGUUUCUGAAGACUGGAGCGACAGGAAG
ensembl:snRNA U6 U6 spliceosomal RNA